GAUCAUGGCUCAGGAUGAACGCUAGCGGCAGGCUUAACACAUGCAAGUCGAGGGGCAGCGGGAUGUAGCAAUACAUUGCCGGCGACCGGCGGAUGGGUGCGUAACGCGUAUGCAACCUACCUUAUACAGGGGAAUAACCUUUCGAAAGGGAGACUAACACCCCAUAGUAUUGAUUUAAGGCAUCUUAGAUUAAUUAAAUAUUUAUAGGUAUAAGAUGGGCAUGCGUAUGAUUAGCUAGUUGGUAAGGUAACGGCUUACCAAGGCGACGAUCAUUAGGGGUUCUGAGAGGAAGGUCCCCCACACUGGUACUGAGACACGGACCAGACUCCUACGGGAGGCAGCAGUGAGGAAUAUUGGUCAAUGGGCGCAAGCCUGAACCAGCCAUGCCGCGUGCAAGGAAGACGGCCUUAUGGGUUGUAAACUGUCUUUUACAUAAGACUAACCGUAUAUUUGCGAAUAUACCUGAAUGUAUUAUGAGAAUAAGGAUCGGCUAACUCCGUGCCAGCCGCCGC
rnacentral:rRNA from 1 species